UGGUGCAGCUGUGGAAAUUGUGCCUUUGCUUCCUCCCCAGCAAACCAUUUAGUUUAUCCUGCAGAAAUAACUGUGUCUGUGCCACUCGCUAUCGGCCCAUCGUAUCUCUGCCUGCUCGUCUCAUUCCAAUCUUCAAGUGUAUGAGGUAACUCUCUGCCUUCAUGCUCUGCAUCAUUGUCAUAUAAGAAAGCACAAUAAAUAUCAUAAAUAAGAAUGCUUCCAGCAUACGACGCCAGAAGAAUGCUCACAGACUGAUGGGAAAGUAGCACAUGGGGAAACACCUAGCACAGGCCAUUUGCUGACAGCUGUUCUGACCACAGCUGCCUUGCCUAUAUUUAAGGACUGUGGCAUCCUUUGUUUAUUGUAGGUGUGUCCUUAGAGAAGAAUGGUGAUAGGACUGCAUCAGUGAUUUGGAAUGAUGCUUGCUAAGAGGUUUUGGCACGCUUACAUGUUGUUGGUGCCCCAGUCACAUCUAUAUUUGUAUUUUCUGUGACGUGUGAGAAAAUAAUGCUUGAAAGUGAGUUUUACUGUAGCUUGUGUAAUGUGUAUAUUCAAGCAAUAUUUAAGGGCUGAUUCUUAGCGACAGAGAUGGAAUCCAGCUGCCUGUUUUCUUUGGCCCCGAGAGUCAGAUCGAUACGAGUUACAUUUUGAGAGCUGGCUUCACAAAGAGAGAGCUAGAGGGUUGGUUUUGAGGGAUUUUCCUCUUCUUUUUGCUCCUUAGUAAGUAAAUAUUUUACAGACCAAAUUCCCAGUUCCACAAAAUCAGUGACUCCGGGCUGUGGGAUGAUAUAAGUAAGCACAAAGGCUGGAAUUUAUUGCUAGUAAUGAUCUAUGAGAUAAGAUUUUCAACUGAACUAGUGCAGAGAGCUCAAUUGCCAGAUGUGUGGGAGUGAAAGUGACACAAAUCCACACACACACACACACGCACACAUCUUUGGCCAUCCCAAAGUGGUUACAUAGGCCUGUAGCACCAGAAGCCUCAAAGAAUUCAUUUUGUGUCUCACUGUCUUCAUCAACUUAAAAGCCGAGUCCCGAGCUUUACAAAAGAUGUCCAAAGUUCUGCCAUGAAUACUUCAUACAUUUAUCUCACUUUCUAAAUCUCAUUAUAAACAAAGAAAGCGUUUUUUUUGGUCUGUAUUUCCCUCCUUUGUAAAGAACCGUGGAAGCAGAAUGACAGUGACUCUGCAAAAAAUCACUGGGGAGUUUGUCCUUGAAUUCACCUACUUUCAUCUCAAGGCAAUUCCAACUUUUACGGUGCUCCAUCUAAGCAGCUUUUCCUCCAGAGUCAUUUUUUCCAUUGGAAACUCUUGCUUUUUGCUUGUAGCAUAUCACCGACGGAAACGAUGGUUCGUGGACGGUAUGCUGUUCACAUCCCAACCUCUGCCUUAAAUCUUUCCUUAGGCAUACCAGAGACUGCAGGUAUCCCAACCUGUAAAAAGAUCUUCUGUGUCCUCUAGUUAAUGCAAGAAGUAUAACCUGUGCUAAUGAGAAUGCAACUUUCCUUCUGUCUGUAUGUUCCAAAAAAGGAUGCUGCAGUCAAAGAAAAUGCUUUACCAUGGGAUAAGACCGCUGCUCUCACUGGUUUGGGAUGAAAAGCGAUAGAGCAUUUUAUAUGCUGUAAGAUACAGCCAUUCUUCAUAUUUUAGUAAACAAACUC
ensembl:lncRNA